rnacentral:lncRNA from 1 species
GGAAAGACAAAGGAGGGCCGUCCACAGAGCCACCAGACCCCAAGAAGAGGAAGUACAGCCCGCUUGAUGGUACGGCUGGCAAUAGUCUAGGUGCCAGGAUGCUGCAGGGAGGGGGUGAAGAAAGGACUGCUGCUACGUAACAUGCAAGUGGACUGACCCCUGACCUUUAAACCUCUAUCCUCUAACCCCUGACAUUCGACCAUCACACAGGACUAGGCUCCCUAGACCGGGACCCGUUACUCUCCUCUACCACUACUACAUAGAUAUAUAGAUAUAGAUAGACAGAACUGGGACCAUCUGCUCUCCUGUAUCACUACUACAUAGAUAUAUAUAUAGAUAUAGAUAGAUAGAUAGGCUCCUGUUUUUAAAUUCUACAUCGGAAGGAAGGAACCGAUGCAGUGUGGCCUGGUUGUCACGGAAAACUUCUUAAAUCUGAUCGCGGCGCAGGACCUGCACCUUUCACUU